rnacentral:rRNA from 1 species
ACCGGGGGGGGGUGCCUAAUACAUGCAAGUCGUACGCACUGGCCCAACUGAUUGAUGGUGCUUGCACCUGAUUGACGAUGGAUUACCAGUGAGUGGCGGACGGGUGAGUAACACGUAGGUAACCUGCCCCGGAGCGGGGGAUAACAUUUGGAAACAGAUGCUAAUACCGCAUAACAACAAAAGCCACAUGGCUUUUGUUUGAAAGAUGGCUUUGGCUAUCACUCUGGGAUGGACCUGCGGUGCAUUAGCUAGUUGGUAAGGUAACGGCUUACCAAGGCGAUGAUGCAUAGCCGAGUUGAGAGACUGAUCGGCCACAAUGGAACUGAGACACGGUCCAUACUCCUACGGGAGGCAGCAGUAGGGAAUCUUCCACAAUGGGCGCAAGCCUGAUGGAGCAACACCGCGUGAGUGAAGAAGGGUUUCGGCUCGUAAAGCUCUGUUGUUGGAGAAGAACGUGCGUGAGAGUAACUGUUCACGCAGUGACGGUAUCCAACCAGAAAGUCACGGCUAACUACGUGCCAGCAGCCGCGGUAAUACGUAGGUGGCAAGCGUUAUCCGGAUUUAUUGGGCGUAAAGCGAGCGCAGGCGGUUGCUUAGGUCUGAUGUGAAAGCCUUCGGCUUAACCGAAGAAGUGCAUCGGAAACCGGGCGACUUGAGUGCAGAAGAGGACAGUGGAACUCCAUGUGUAGCGGUGGAAUGCGUAGAUAUAUGGAAGAACACCAGUGGCGAAGGCGGCUGUCUGGUCUGCAACUGACGCUGAGGCUCGAAAGCAUGGGUAGCGAACAGGAUUAGAUACCCUGGUAGUCCAUGCCGUAAACGAUGAGUGCUAGGUGUUGGAGGGUUUCCGCCCUUCAGUGCCGGAGCUAACGCAUUAAGCACUCCGCCUGGGGAGUACGACCGCAAGGUUGAAACUCAAAGGAAUUGACGGGGGCCCGCACAAGCGGUGGAGCAUGUGGUUUAAUUCGAAGCUACGCGAAGAACCUUACCAGGUCUUGACAUCUUGCGCUAACCUUAGAGAUAAGGCGUUCCCUUCGGGGACGCAAUGACAGGUGGUGCAUGGUCGUCGUCAGCUCGUGUCGUGAGAUGUUGGGUUAAGUCCCGCAACGAGCGCAACCCUUGUUACUAGUUGCCAGCAUUAAGUUGGGCACUCUAGUGAGACUGCCGGUGACAAACCGGAGGAAGGUGGGGACGACGUCAGAUCAUCAUGCCCCUUAUGACCUGGGCUACACACGUGCUACAAUGGACGGUACAACGAGUCGCAAGCUCGCGAGAGUAAGCUAAUCUCUUAAAGCCGUUCUCAGUUCGGACUGUAGGCUGCAACUCGCCUACACGAAGUCGGAAUCGCUAGUAAUCGCGGAUCAGCAUGCCGCGGUGAAUACGUUCCCGGGCCUUGUACACACCGCCCGUCACACCAUGGGAGUUUGUAACGCCCAAAGUCGGUGGCCUAACCUUUAUGGAGGAGCCGCUAAGGCCGGAACAGAGUG